rnacentral:rRNA from 1 species
UACUACAAUGCCCAGUACAGAACGAUCCGAGACCGCGAGGUGGAGGUAAUCUAGUAAAACUGGGCCCAGUUCGGAUUGGAGUCUGCAACUCGACUCCAUGAAGCCGGAAUCGCUAGUAAUGGCGCAUCAGCUACGGCGCCGUGAAUACGUUCCCGGGCCUUGUACACACCGCCCGUCACAUCAUGGAAGUUGCUUGUAGCCGAAGCCGGCGCGCUAACCCGCAAGGGAUGCAGCCGCCUACGCUAUGAGCAGUAACUGGGAUGAAGUCGUAACAAGGUAGCCGUAGGGGAACCUGCGGCUGGAUCACCUCCUUUCUAAGGAGA